rnacentral:rRNA from 1 species
AUACGGAGGAUGCAAGCGUUAUCCGGAUUUAUUGGGUUUAAAGGGUGCGUAGGCGGUUUGCUAAGCGGGAGGUGAAAUGCCGGCGCUCAACGUCGGAAGUGCCUCCCGAACUGGAGGACUUGAAUGACUCUGCCGUGGGAGGAAUGUGUAGUGUAGCGGUGAAAUGCUUAGAGAUUACACAGAACACCGAUUGCGAAGGCAUCUCACGAAGGGUUGAUUGACGCUGAGGCACGAAAGCGUGGGGAUCAAACAGGAUUAGAUACCCUGGUAGUCCACGCAGUAAACGAUGAUGGCUAACCGCUGGGCUUAUCAGUUCAGUGGCCAAGCGAAAGCGAUAAGCCAUCCACCUGGGGAGUACGACCGCAAGGUUGAAACUCAAAUGAAUUGACGGGG